UGCGGCCCCUGAGUGAAGUUUUGGGUGCCAGUGGCCCCCCAACUCUGCAGUUAGGUCUUGGGUCACCUGGCAUCCAGAAUGGAGCAUCCACUGUCCCAGGUCACCCGGUUGUCAGUGCAGAUGGCGGAGACCCCGAUCUGGGUGGGGCUGAGGCUGGCCUGCAGCGCUGGCCGAGGGAAGCUCUGCUGGCUCCGGGCUCUGAGACUUUCUCCAUCUGGGUGGGGAUUUAGCUCCUAUUUAAAGUUAUGAACGUUGCUACUCUUUGGGAGGGAGUGUCCCUGAAGGGCCAGCGUGUCUAGAGGAAGGCCCUGGAAGCUCUGAACAGCACAGUGCAACGUCACUUCUCCUGUCUCCACACUGAGCUGCGUCUGACAUAGGUUGGUUUGAAUUUUUUCUGGGUCACACGGCCAAACCAUACGCUGCUUAAAAUACAGUGUGUGGUUUUGGUGACUCGCAGCCAAUUCCUCUUUUCCUAAGAAGCUGUGGGUUUCUGUGCCUGACUGUUCUCAGUGAGCACAGAGCAACUGAAGGGAGAGCAAGACGGAGGGAGCCUCGCUCCUGAGGAGCUCCGGUUCACAUCCCCGAG
rnacentral:lncRNA from 1 species